UUGGGACAUACUUAUACUAAA
rnacentral:miRNA from 1 species